CAGGGUCUUGCCAAACUCCGAGGGCAGCAGAGCGGCACCCGAGGCGGCCAGAUUUCGGAUUACCGCGGCCGCGUCGUGCUUGACAGGGACGAGUGUGCGAGGCCCAUAGUUCGUGUGGUCUGAAUCGGUGAGCCCUGCUCCAGCUGCUACUGGUGUGGCUGAAGAGGAUGUGGCCCAGGAUCUUUCCCGUGCCCCAACUCGUAAGUUUCGCUGAUGUUUUUGAUUAACUGUAGAUGGUGUUACAUGCUCACAGGUGAUGCUCAUGCGUGCAGGCAUAUGUUUGUGAAGAGAUGACAUCUGUGGGCAUAAAGACAAAAGGCUGCACAAAAAAAAUUUGGCAAACGGUUGCAGGAGCUAGUUGUAUGCAUAACUGUCAGAUGGAAUAAACAGGUGUCCUGCCUUGCAGUUAUGGUGAAAUGUAGCAAAAAGGUAGCAUUGCAAAAAUGUUCAACAUCUUGAAAUGUUUCCCUGUUUUGUCAAUUGCUUCAAAAGUGAAACUGAAAAUGUGCUAUUGCUAAAUAUACUGUUCAAAAAGCAAGCUCGUUAUAUAACUUUUUCACAUACCAUCAUACACAAAUGCACAUGUUUGCACCUGUGUUACACCUGCUUGCUGUAUGUUUUGCAUACUGCAGCAGCUAGGGUUUCGGAAGGAGAUUGUGUCAGUCAUCGCGUAAAGCCGGGCAAACGAUUGUGUAGCCCUGAAAAGGGCUGUUUGGUUGCUUCUCAUGCAGAGAUGGUUAGAGGCGUGAGAUGCGUUUGAUGAGAUGAGCGAAAAUGAAUUCCGGCACCGCUUUGGUCUGUCCAAACGAAGUGCGUUGAGAGAGAGAGAGAGAUACGAAGAGGAAAGGCAGGGAGGUUAACCAAGCUUUGGCUCGGUUGGCUACCCUGCACUUGGGGUGCGGUUGUGCGGUGAACCAAGCACCAUUCAUGGAUGCCGUUGGGUCAGUGGAUUUUCAACAGAGAGGAAAUUGUUGCACACACUGAAACUCUUCACGAACAGAAGCUUCCAGCGAAGAGUCGGUAGCAGGAAAUUUAUAGAUGAUAAUGGCAACACAUUUCUUGGUUUCCAGCUCGUGCCGCAGCUGCGAGAUGGGGGCAACCGGCAGGCCGAGGCGCUGGAGUUACUAGCCGCAAACACCAGGCGGCAGGGCCAGGCAUCAUUGGAAAGCUGCGCCAGGUUCAACUUCUCGGUGACGCGGUCCACAAAUUGCAAGGCGUUGGUACC